UGAGCAAUCUGCCUAGAUGUGGGGGAUAGCCGGCCCAACGGCCGGGUAAUACCGCAUACGCUCUCCUGGUGGCAUCACCGGGUGAGGAAACUUUCGAGGCGUCUAGAGGAGCUCGCGGCCUAUCAGCUAGUUGGUGAGGUAAUGGCUCACCAGGCUUUGACGGGUANCUGGUCUGAGAGGAUGGCCAGCCACAGUUGGGACUGAGAUACCGGCCCAGAUCCGUACGGG
rnacentral:rRNA from 1 species